UAUUUCAAGAACUGGAGGCGGUUUUCCACUAAGCGAAAUUUUUCGACCGAAUCGAAAUUUCUCUUUGUUUCAUGAGCUCUCGAGCAGAACUAAUUGUAAAAAGACAAAGAGAAAUUUCGUUUCGGUCGAAAAAUUCCGCCUAGUGGAAAACGGCCUUUAAGCCAGAUAUG
rnacentral:miRNA from 1 species